GGAGUGGUGGCUGAGCGGCUGAAAGCACUCCUUUGCUAAAGGAACGUACGGCUUUAAACUGUACCGAGGGUUCGAAUCCCUCCCACUCCG
rnacentral:tRNA from 1 species